AUGUUGAAAAGAGUAUGGAUAACUCACUGGAUUUUGGAAACCGAAUUCUAAAAGGCCUGGCUGUGUUUCUCACUUUAUAACUUUUUCAUAUGACAUUGUAUUAAUCUGGAAUUUGAUUCAAUAAAAAGCUAAAAGAGUCUUGUUUGAGGUCGUGAAUUUUGAAAGGCAUUGGGUGAAAACUUGAUGCAGCUCCUCCAGCCCGUGUCUUCCUCUCUCCCAGCGGCGCUCAGUCUUGGGCUUCCUCUCCGACGCGACGCGGCGGCGAUCGGCGCAGCUCGUGGCUCCAUGGGUGACCGCAGUGAGGCACGAGCUCCUUCUCUCCUCCGACGAGAACUCUCUCUCUCUCUCCUCCCUCUGUCCUUCGCGCGGUUCUGGAGGCAGCGUCACGGGUCGGCGGCGACGUGGUUAGAUCGUGACAGCAAGGCGCGGUGGUAGCGGUUCCAGGCCGGCAGUAGCGCGCGAUGGAGGAGGCGGCGGUGAGGCAGCAGACUCGACCGGUUGGAUGACGGCGCGGUGAAGCUCCCUCUCUUUCCCCCAGCUCGACGGCGACGGCGGCGAGGCCCCCCAGCCAGCGCCGUCCCUUCCUCUCUGAUUCCCAUCUUCCCCUAUUUCCAUUUUCCCCCUUUUUCUUGCUGUGAGGUUUCCGUGGGUGAGGGAUGGGGUCUCUAGGGUUAGGAUUUCCAAUUUGGGAAAUUAGGGUUUCUGAUU
rnacentral:lncRNA from 1 species